rnacentral:rRNA from 1 species
AACGUAGGAGACAAACGUUAUCCGGAGUUACUGGGCGUAAAGGGCGUGUAGGUGGUUGCGUAAGUCUGGCGUGAAAUUUUUCGGCUUAACCGGGAAAGGUCGUCGGAUACUGCGUAACUAGAGGACGGUAGAGGCGUGUGGAAUUCCGGGUGUAGUGGUGAAAUGCGUAGAUAUCAGGAGGAACACCUGUGGCGAAAGCGGCUCACUGGACCACAACUGACGCUGAGGCGCGAAAGCUAGGGGAGCAAACAGG